UGAGAAGGACAAAGGGCAAAAUAGACUAGAAGAAGAGAGAGAGAAGAUGGAGGAGCGAGAAAAGAAAUGGGUGGAAGAGGAAAUAAGAAAGGGAGAGGUGAUCAUAAUGGAGAAGCAAAAGAAGAGAGAGGAAGAGAACAGAAGGGUGGAGGACGAAAGAAAGGAAGAGGCAGUGAGGUUGGAGAUGAACAGAGAGAGAAUGGAGGAAGAGAAAAAGAUGAUGGAUGCAAACAAUGACGAUAAUCUGUUAAGGAGUCAGGAGGAGGAGAGAAUGAGAGCUCUGGAAUUAGAAAAGAGGAACAGAGUGACAGACGAACACCUAACAGACAUCUGGACAGAAGCAGUGAAUUUAGAAGUGACAUACUCAGAUGAUGAGGACUGGAUAGACUCUGAACGUGAUAAUGAAAUCAAGAUCCAGACAGAUGAGAAGCAGCAGGACCUUGAGAGUGAGUUGGAGGAGAGCAUUGAUAAAGAACUGAGCCAUGGAGAGCACAGUGACAUAGAGAAUAAACUGGCAGAGAAAGAGGUUGAGAGAAGCCCAACUUCUAUGGCGGAGCAGUCUGGAAAAUCAUCAGUCCAAGAUGAAGAACACUUGCGGAGCCCUGAAGUGACAGCACAUGCAAACCCACAGUAUACUCAAUAUAUGAAGUCACCAUUGCCAGAUCUCUCAUCUCCUACAGAAAAUAUGGCAUCACAAACCCUACCUCCACGACAGGAUAAACUCACAGAUUCAGUGGAUGGGGAUCCCUUCUGUGAAAAGCAGGAAUAUUCAGAUUAUGACGGUGGGACGGAGUCUGAGAAGUUGAACAAUGAAGGUAAGAUCCAGAAAGGUGAAGAGAUCCAGACGGAGGAGGACAUUGACCACAAGUCUGAGGAGGACAGCAUAGUCGAAGAACUGAGCCAAGAUGAUCAGAGUGACAUUGACAUUGAGGCGGUACAUUUAGUGGAGGUUGAAAGCAACAUCAGCAGCUUCACCAAUAUGAGGAAACCAGCGGCAUGUGCAGCAGUCCAUGAGGACCAGUCUGGGCAACAGUCAGCAAAGCCAAAAGACAUGGCAAAGGGACAGAAGGAUGGUGAUAUGAAGGCAGAAAUAUUGAGGGUGGAAGAACAAGGGAAGAGAGUUCAAGAAAACAGCCAGAAGCAUAAGACAAAACAGGAGCAAGAG
ensembl:lncRNA